AUCGCGGCAGAGCUUGCGUAACGCCAAGUUGGUCCCAGCUGAGGCCAAAAGCUGCUUUUUUUAUUUGAACAAGACUACAAUGUUACUUCAGUUAUGAGCCAGAGUACAUGAUUUCAUUGCUUUGUCUUUAACUGUGCUUACCGGCAGCACGUACAUUUCUCGCUUGUUUUGUUUGUUUUCACUUACUUAAUUUUUGGUAAUGUGUCAGUUUUCUUGCUGGUUUGCGCUGCUGGGAAUUUUAUUUCCUCUCCAGGAGUUUGAGAAGCAAUGAAAAACGGUGCUGCUGGUAAACAGGGUUAGGUUUAAGGAGGGAUGUCUUCUAGAGAAAGAAGAGUCAAAGCAGCAGGAUGAAGCCUGACUGUAGUCCUGGAUGGAAGUGCAUUGUGGCGGUGGGCUACGUCUCUUUUCAAAUCAAUUCGCCGACACAAGACAUCUCAGCUACUCAAGAAGGAUCACCAACUUGUUGACUUCCUCAUUCAUCUGAAAAAGCUUGGAGUCUCUCUCAAUCCUUACCAAAUUCUAUAUUUGCACUGUUGAGUUCCUCCUCAUUGACAGUGGAAUAUCCUAAUAUGAUACCUGCUCAGUUCAGGGCGGUGAAGCACCGCAGGGUAUGAGGAGUACAUUUCAAGAUAUAACUAAAAUGUUCUUCUUUAGAAAGGCAAAAGGUAUCAUGAAGGUCCUCUGCCAUCCUGGGCAGUUACUUUUCUCUCUUUUUUUGUGCAAAUGGUACAAGACCAUUAGACUUUUCGCCACUAGAUUGACGGGCAGCUUUUAUCCUCAUAUUGCAAAGGCCCCUCAACAACUGUUCAUCCUAACUACAUGAGUAUAUCUAAUGUGUUUGUUAUAUCAAAUUGUCUAAUUUUGUAUACAAUGUGGAGUAUCUUAUUAUAUAUAUAUUAUCCAUUAUUUGUAUUAUACUAUUGUCACUAGCCUCUAUGAUACAUGAAUGUAAGCAUGCCAUUGUACCAUGUGGUCAAACAGUAACAAUAAACUUGAGCUUAAUAGAAGGA